CAGGCUGGGGGCAAGGUGGCUCCUGGACAGGCCCAGCAGGGUGACCCUGACCUUCCUCACCAGAUGGGGGAGUAUCCUCUGCAAGACAUAAGCCUUGGCAGGGGCCCGGCUGGCCCAGCUUCAGGGAGGGGCUGGACAGAUGCCCAGACUGGAAGGAACACCUCUUCCUUCCUUUUCAUUCUCAUCUGGAUGAUACAUGUCCUGUGUCCUGUUUUGUAUUUCAUGACACAACAGGGUGGCUCCAGCCUAGGACACGAGUGAGAAAUUUAUCUUCCAACAGGCGUUUUUUUCCCUGGAUGGACUUGUGUCCAAGGGAAGGCGUUUGUUCCAGAUUUUGGCACCAGGCUCUAGAUGGGGGCCCCGGCCUGGACGGGCAGCCCCGGGACUGACCCCUUGGUGGUGGUCAGCUUUGGACAGGAAGGACACACCCUCAGAGAAGGCCUCACCUUGGAGUAGGUGGCCCCGUUGAUGACCUCUCCCUUCCGCAACCAGAUGAUGGAGGCUGCAGGCUUGGCAUUGUCUGCGUGGCAGCAACAGCAAUUACCCCUGACAUGUGCAUCGCAUGUUUAUUUGCAGAGGAUGUUCACAUCACCAUCUCAUCUGGUGCUCACUCCAAGCCGAGAAGGGACCGGGCGGGCAUCACUAGCUUUGUUUCACACAUCUGAAGCAAAGCUCCGCUGCCUAGAUAAUAUCUGGAUUCUUUCUUUUUGACGAUUAUUUUUUUUAAACGAAGCCCAGUCACAUCCGUGGUUGGAUUUAAUCCUCAUGACAGUUUGCGAGGUUUGCUCUUGUCUGGCACGUUCCGUUCUGCUCAGCAUCCGUGGUGAAAAGCAGCACUUGCCCGAGGACUCAACCAACAUUCAUACGCUGAUAAAUCCGGGACAUGCGUAUUCCCCCUUUUGGGGACUGGCAUCACCAUUCGACUAACGAAGCCAGAAAUCUGCAAGUCUUUCCAGAUUCUGCUCUCUUCAUCCUGCAUUGCUGCCCAUCUUGGUUAAUUCCAUGAAGUUCCUCUCGAAGUUGUCUCUCUCCCUUUCCACUCCUGAGAGUCUUCCUGGCUCAGCCUCUCAUCAUUUCUUGCUUGGAUUAUAACACUGCACACUCCCUGCCCCAUCCCCCACACCGCCGCAGAGUGAUCUGUGCAAAGCCUGGUCAUUAAUCACCCAUUCUCUCACCAUUGGUUGAAUAUCUAGCGUUCCUCUGUUUAAAGUCUUUCAAAGGUGCCCCAUUGCCAUCUGAAUAAAGUCUGAAC